GGCCGCCUGGCGAAAUGGCAUCGCGUCUGACUACGAUUAUAUAACCCAUUGAUGAUGUAAUCAAUCAGGAGAUUGCAGGUUCGACCCCUGCGGUGGUCA
rfam:Gymnopus luxurians FD-317 M1 unplaced genomic scaffold GYMLTscaffold_101, whole genome shotgun sequence.